rnacentral:rRNA from 1 species
AGCUCCAAUAGCGUAUAUUAACAUUGCUGCAGUUAAAAAGCUCGUAGUCGAAUUUCUGGUCUCUCAAUGAAGAACUGUACCCUAUGGUCAGUAUCUGAUAUUGCGGAUCAUCUUUCUGGAAUUGAUCUGAUGCUCUUGGAUGAGUGGUAGUUCAAUCCAGAUCUUUUACUGUGAGCAAAUGAGAGUGUUUAAAGCAAGCUCAUGACAUGCCUAAAUCCUCUAGCAUGGAAUAAUAAGAUAGAACUUCGGUUUUAUUUUGUUGGCUUCUAGAACCAAAGUAAUGAUUGAAAGGGAUAGUUGGGGGUGCUCGUAUUUAGAGGGGAGCGGUGAAAUGCGUUGAGCCUCUGAAGACGGACUAAUGCGAAAGCAUUCACCAAGGAUAUCUUCU